GUAUGAAUUGUUCAUCCAUUGUAAAGAUAAACUUCUAGAAGUUUAUCUGGGUCCCCAAAACAAGAACAGGACUGUUUUGAAGCAAAUAAGAGUCCCAUUAUGAAUACAUAGAGAAUGGCCAGGUGAAACAAUGGAAAGGUGAUCAAAUAAUGGCUAGGAGAAACAAUGGAAUGAGUCCUUCCAGUAGGAUCACUGUGAGCGCUCUACAGCUUGGAACCUGAUCCUGAGGAUUUGGCUGAAAGAAUAAAAACCCAUUCGGUUGCUAUAGCCACAUUUAUAACUCCC